GCGGAUUGGCGGUGCAGCUGGGGCGGAGACCAUUCCAGACACACCUGUAGCAAAGGGCAGAAUGUCAACAGGUGCCUAUGGGUUUUGAGAGCCAGGCUGUGUGUGCCAGCCUGGGUGGCAGGUGUCUGGUCUUAUGGCAGCAUCUGAGGUGGCAGGGGCUUCCCAGCCCUUCCAGGGCUUGCCUGGUUCUAGGUUCACCCUGCGCCUCGUGACCCGAAGGUUCGCGUUCUCUCCAUUUCGCCGCCGGGAACCUGGGACGCGGGGAGGUGAAGAGCAAGGGUCGCGGGAUGAGAUUCAAGCCACCCAAGUCCAAAGCCAUCAUGCACCCCCAAUUUCAUGUGGAAAAUACCCUUCCAAGGAAAAACAAGAGUUCCCCGGUGGCUCGGCAGGUUAAAGAUCUGGUGUCACUACUGCAGCUCAAGCUCGAUCCCUGGCUGGGGAACUUCCACAUGUCAGGGAUGCGGCCCCCACCCCACCCCCAAAAAAACCAAAACUGACAGCCCACCCCACCCGUCAAAGUCUGCAGCUAUAGACACAGGUUCGAGAAACCCACACUGAAGAUUAAAUGCUCUCACUCCAGCCUGGGGACCUGAAAGCUUGGGGCAGCCCCUCAAUUUCCAGGGUCACCUGAGAGGCAGUGGGCCAUGCCUGUGCAAGCUGUGGGAGCACGAAGAAGACCAGCUGGAGUUCCCCUGUGGCACGAGGGGAUCAGCGGCAUCUUGGGGGUUCAAUCCCUGGCCUGGCACAGUGGGUUAAAAAUCUGGUGUUGCUGCAGCUGCGGCUUAGGUCUCGACUUCAACUAGGCUCUGAUCCCUGGCCUGGGAACUCCGUAUGCUGCAGGGUAGCCAAAAAUGAAAAAAGAACCAAAAACAAAAAAAGAAAACACAAGAGUUUCCGUCAUGGUGCAGCAGUAACCUGACUAGCAUCCAUGAGGUUGCGGGUUUGAUCCCUGGCCUCGCUCAGUGGGUUAAGGAUCAGGCAUUGCUGUGAGCAGUGGUGUGGGUUGCAGAUGCAGCUCAGAUCUGGCCUGGCUGUGGCUGUGGCGUAGGCCUGCAGCGGUAGCUCUGAUUCAGCCCCUAGCCUGGGAACCUCCGUAUGCUGUGGUUGUGGCCCUGAAAAAUGAAAAAAGAAAGAAAGAAAACACAGGACUGACAGGUUCUCUUAAAACGUGAGUGUGAGGAGUUCCCUGGUGGCAUGCGGCCAAAAAAAAAAAAAAGAGAGAGAGAAAAGAAGCAUGGAGGGUGAGCAGCCCUCCCCAGCCUGCCCCACCCCCUUUGCUGUGGCCAAAGGCUGCCCCAGCCCCGGGAAGCGCCUGCUGAUCUGAGGCUUGAAGAGGGCCCCAGGGCAGGCAACUGCCCCAUGCUCCCCCGGAGCUCAUAUCCUGUUUGGGUUUUACAGGUUGUGGGGGGCGGGGAUUUUUCUCCCAGCUCUGAUGGGGUUUGGAAGGGCAGUGGGUAUGAACUGGGGGUGCCGGCUCCCCCUUGCCUACUCCUCAGAUCCCAGCUGUCCAGGAUCCUGGGUGAAAGGCCCCCUCCUACAAGCUGGUCCGGGGUCAGGCUGCAGUUCCACCCGGGGCCCCAGAGCUCCUGGUGUCAGAGAACUUUGGGGCGCCCUGCCCACGCGAUGCCUCAGAUCCCACCUACUGCCUCUGGGCCCCGCAGCACAGCUGUUUUAUACCUGGAGGUUCCAUGUGAGAGCAGUAACCAUUUCUUCUACUCCUCAAUAAACAAAAA
ensembl:lncRNA